rnacentral:rRNA from 1 species
CCUACGGGGUGCAGCAGUGAGGAAUAUUGGUCAAUGGGCGCAGGCCUGAACCAGCCAAGUCGCGUGAGGGAAGACUGCCCUAUGGGUUGUAACCCUCUUUUAUAAGGGAAGAAUAAUGACUACGUGUAGUCAGAUGCCCGUACCUUAUGAAUAAGCGUCGGCUAACUCCGUGCCAGCAGCCGCGGUAAUACGGAGGAUGCGAGCGUUAUCCGGAUUUAUUGGGGUUAAAGGGUGCGUAGGCGGUAUUUUAAGUUAGUGGUAAAACGUCGGGGCUUCACCUUGAUUGGCCAUUAAAACUGGAGUACUAGAGUACAGACGAGGUAGGCGGAAUAAGUUAAGUAGCGGUGAAAUGCUUAGAUAUCACACAGAACACCGAUUGCGAAGGCAUCUCACGAAUCCGCGAUUGACGCUGAUGCACGAAAGCGUGGGUAUCAAACAGGAUUAGAUACCCGAGUAGUC